GACGAACGCUGGCGGCGUGCCUAAUACAUGCAAGUAGAACGCACAGUUUAUACCGUAGCUUGCUACACCAUAGACUGUGAGUUGCGAACGGGUGAGUAACGCGUAGGUAACCUGCCUGGUAGCGGGGGAUAACUAUUGGAAACGAUAGCUAAUACCGCAUAAUAUUAAUUAUUGCAUGAUAAUUAAUUGAAAGGUGCAAUUGCACCACUACCAGAUGGACCUGCGUUGUAUUAGCUAGUAGGUGAGGUAACGGCUCACCUAGGCGACGAUACAUAGCCGACCUGGGAGGGUGAUCGGCCACACUGGGACUGAGACACGGCCCAGACUCCUACGGGGGGCAGCAGUAGGGAAUCUUCGGCAAUGGACGAAAGUCUGACCGAGCAACGCCGCGGGAGUGAAGAAGGUUUUCGGAUCGUAAAGCUCUGUUGUAAGAGAAGAACGGGUGUGAGAGUGGAAAGUUCACACUGUGACGGUAUCUUACCAGAAAGGGACGGCUAACUACGUG
rnacentral:rRNA from 1 species